rnacentral:rRNA from 1 species
AGUGAACGCUGGCGGUAUGCCUAACACAUGCAAGUCGAACGGCAGCACAGUAAGAGCUUGCUCUUACGGGUGGCGAGUGGCGGACGGGUGAGGAAUACAUCGGAAUCUACUUUUUCGUGGGUGAUAACGUAGGGAAACUUACGCUAAUACCUCAUACGACCUACGGGUGAAAGCAGUGGAUCUUCGGACCUUGCGCGAUUGAAUGAGCCGAUGUCGGAUUAGCUAGUUGGCGGGGUAAAGGCCCACCAAGGCGACGAUCCGUAGCUGGUCUGAGAGGAUGAUCAGCCACACUGGAACUGAGACACGGUCCAGACUCCUACGGGAGGCAGCAGUGGGGAAUAUUGGACAAUGGGCGAAAGCCUGAUCCAGCCAUACCGCGUGGGUGAAGAAGGCCUUCGGGUUGUAAAGCCCUUUUGUUGGGAAAGAAAAGCAGCAGGUUAAUACCCCGCUGUUCUGACGGUACCCAAAGAAUAAGCACCGGCUAACUUCGUG